rnacentral:lncRNA from 1 species
UUCAUCUUCGGAUGAGCUCGUUUCGUCCUUUGGCAUCUUCUUCUUGUGUUCAUAGCAAGUAGCUCCAUUCUUUUUAUUUUUUAAUUUUUGUUUAAUUAACUUUUUAAAGUUCAUGAAUAGUUCAAGUUCACCAUCACUUGAGCUUAUGCUCGAGUGGUCUUCAUGUGUUCUCAGUCCGAAAUCCUUCUUGUUCUUUGGAAGGUGGUUCUCAAGUUCUUUACGUGCAUUGCACGUCAUUUAAUAGGUCAUCAAGG